rnacentral:misc_RNA from 1 species
GAUGAAGAACGUAGCGAAAUGCGAUAAGUAGUGUGAAUUGCAGAAUUCAGUGAAUCAUCGAAUCUUUGAACGCACAUUGCGCCCCUUGGUAUUCCAUGGGGCAUGCCUGUUCGAGCGUCAUUUGUACCUUCAAGCUCUGCUUGGUGUUGGGUGUUUGUCUCGCCUCUGCGUGUAGACUCGCCUCAAAACAAUUGGCAGCCGGCGUAUUGAUUUCGGAGCGCAGUACAUCUCGCGCUUUGCACUCAUAACGACGACGUCCAAAAGUACAUUUUUACACUCUUGACCUCAGAUCAGGUAGGGAUACCCGCUGAACUUAAGCAUCUCAAUAAGCGGAGGA